UUGGAUUUUGUUAGAAAUUUAUUUGAGCUUUAAAAGCGCGCACACAUACACCGACUCUCUUACCAAUAAAUCAUAAAUUUGAUUUCAAUAUUUACCACAAACUUUCCUCUUUCUGCAAAUAUUUAGUUUUUCAAACAAUUAAUUCUUCUUCUGACCCUUAAUUUACACAGUUUCUCUCCUUCUACCAUUCCUCGUUCAAUUCAAUCUCUCUCUUUAUUUCUUCUACCUCUCACCAUAAUUUAAUUAAACCCCAUCUCUAUCCAAUUAUAUAUAAUGGCCUUAGACUUUCAAAACCAACCACCACAUACCAUUUUACAUAUCCAUGUUACUGGUGUUGCUACUGCUCAAUAUGAUGGCCAUCACCGCCGCAUAGCUGCAGCGCGCCACCUCUCUUUUCCACCCUCUUAAGGUAUGUAUAUAUAUAAACUUGUAUACUUGAAUGUUCAAUCAAAUUUAUAGCCUUUAUAAGUUGUUUUCGUUAUGCAGUAUUUCAAGAGAAUAUCAAAGGAAUUCUUGGAAAAGGAGAAUCAUGAGCAGU
rnacentral:lncRNA from 1 species